rnacentral:tRNA from 1 species
AAUGUUGUUGCCGAGUGGUUUGUAAGGCGGGAGAUUGCUAAUCUCUUGUACGUUGUGGGCGUAGGGUCAAAUCCUAUCAUUGUCG